UAUAAUAAAAAAAUACUAGUAUAACAUAUUAGGACAACUUUUCCUAGGAAAAUAUGUGCCAGACAUAUUUUACUACCUAUGGACUUAUUUUCCUAGGAAAAAUUGUCCUGGGACUUACAUUCCUAGUAAAAUAAUGAUCAUGGACUUGUUUUCCUAGGGAAAAAAGUCUGGCGGACAGAUUUUACUACCGGACUAAAUUUACUGUUACAC
rnacentral:lncRNA from 1 species